GCAGGCCCUGGCCCUGGG
rnacentral:misc_RNA from 1 species